rnacentral:rRNA from 1 species
UGAGGAAUAUUGGUCAAUGGCCGCAAGGCUGAACCAGCCAUGUCGCGUGAAGGAUGACUGCCCUAUGGGUUGUAAACUUCUUUUGUAUGGGAAGAAAGGUAUCUACGUGUAGAUAUUUGCCGGUACCAUACGAAUAAGGAUCGGCUAACUCCGUGCCAGCAGCCGCGGUAAUACGGAGGAUCCAAGCGUUAUCCGGAUUUAUUGGGUUUAAAGGGUGCGUAGGUGGCUGUAUAAGUCAGUAGUGAAAUCUCGGAGCUCAACUCCGAACGUGCUAUUGAAACUGUAUAGCUUGAAUUCAGACGAGGCAGGCGGAAUGUGUAAUGUAGCGGUGAAAUGCAUAGAUAUUACAC